rnacentral:rRNA from 1 species
UGACCCGUCUUGAAACACGGACCAAGGAGUCUAGCGUAUACGCGAGUCAUUGGGUGGAAAACCCAUAGGCGAAAUGAAAGUGAAGGUCUCUUUAUGAGGCUGAUAUGCGAUCCGUUGCACUACGGUGUACGCGGAGCAGCAUAGCCCCGCUCUCGACUGCUUGCAGUGGGGCGGAGGUAGAGCGUAUUCGCUGGUACCCGAAAGAUGGUGAACUAUGCCUGAGCAGGAUGAAGCCAGAGGAAACUCUGGUGGAGGUCCGAAGCGCUUCUGACGUGCAAAUCGAUCGUCUGACUUGGGUAUAGGGGCGAAAGACUAAUCGAACCAUCUAGUAGCUGGUUCCCUCCGAAGUUUCCCCCAGGAUAGCUGGAGCCUGUUAAAUUAGUUAUAGCUCGGUAAAGCGAACGAUUAGAGGACUUGGGGUCAAAAUGACCUUAAGCCUAUUCUCAAACUCUCAAUGGGUAUGAAGUCCUAGUUGCUUGAUUGAACUAGGACGUUGAAUAUAGGCUCCAAGUGGGCCAUUUUUGGUAAGCAGAACUGGCGA